UCAGCUCCAGAGGGCAGAAGUCUGCAGGAACUUAGAAAACUUUCUCCUUCAUAGAGAAGUAUUUAGGCUUCCAACACUGUUUAUUACAGGAAAUUCUUUCAGAUUUUCAGAGCACAGAGCAGACAUGAACUUCUCUGCUUAUCCCCAUUACAAGUAAAAUGCAUCACAGUAACCAGACCCUCUAUUUAUAGCAAUAAAGUUUAACAACAGAAGGCUGGGGGAGGGAAACAGAAUGAAGGCUUUGUUCAUCUGUUGCAGCAAGAGUGGAUUUUGAUAUUUUUCUUUGAAGAAAUCCAUAGACCCAAUUUCAAAUGAAGAUGGUAAACCAACCAGUGAACUGCCUUGGAGGUGAAGCCAUCAUAAUUUUCUAGUCCCCAACUCCAGGAAAAAUGAGCAAUUUUAUUUCACUGAGAAUUACAGUUUUUGGGAAUGCGUUCUGGAAAACCAACAAGAAGCUGUAGCAGAAGAGUGUGAGGAGUCCUCCCCCUGAGGAGGAGGGAGUGGCAGAGACAUGUGAUGAACUGACUGCAGCCCCUGUUCCAUGUCCCUCUGUGCCAUUGGAGGAAAGCUGAAUCCAAGGAAUACUGACAGCAGAAAGCUGGCACCAGUGAAUGUAUUUGGACCAAUCCGCCAGCGCAACAUGUGUUGCAAAAGCAAGACCGUGGAGACAAUCAUGGAAUCAGAACAACAAGCCAGUGAAUCAAUGCUUUGAAAAAUAGAGGAAGAAGUAAAAUAAAUUAGAAAAUCACAGGCUAAGCUUUGAGAGUUCAUGUCAUGGAUUUUACUCCUCCCUUCGUUCAAGAAAGCACAAUAUAGUGAGAAGAGUGAAAACAAAAUCAAGGAGCACCCAGUGCAAUUAUGAAAGCCAGGAACGAAGCCUUCUCACUGAUACAGAUCACCGAUGACAGCAGGAGAACAUAAACAUAGCACUAUUCCAUAGCUUGAUACUUUAAUACUGGGGGUUUCAGUUUCCUUUUUGAAGCCCCUUUUUCAUCAAAACAUAGAAAGCAAUGCUAAUAGGCCACCAUUUCUUUUAUUUGGUGUCCUUCUAGACCCCAGAGCAAGGUCUAAUAAACAGAGUGCUCUAGAGAAACACUACUUCUCCAGAGUUCCUGAGAAGUGCAAUCACUUCAGUAAAGUCUGUGCCAGGCAGAGGAUUCUCUUCCUCUCUGCCAACUAUUUCAGCUGGCAUGGGGCAUGGUGGAGGCUCUUGUCCCCUGAUCCAGCUCUGUAUCAUCUCAAAUCAUUCAGCUCAUCCACCACCCUCUUACCAAAACAAUGCCUGUCCCCUACAGUGGCUCACAACUUGAAGACCGGCUCAUAUAAGUCAUCUGUUCCUUCUGCUUACUGAAUUUCUCUUGGAAUUGGGUAGAAUGGACCCCAAACUCAAGCUCUGUGUCCUUGAAGUCUGCAAGGCUCACAAAUCCAAUGGACCAAUCUCCGGCAAGCUCAUCUAGCUCUUUCUUCAAAACCCAGCAAGAAGCCUCUACCAGAAAACUGCAGGCUCUGCCAGAAACUCUGUGCAAAGUUUGCUGAGAAUAACCUCACCAUAAGCACCAUACCAAGGCCUGGGGACAGAAAUAUGCAAGAGGGAGAAGCCAACAGGCUAAGCACCAGGCAAAGCAAGAAUGGUUCCCAAAUUUGAUUGUGACUACAACUGGUAGUCUGGGCUUGGUAGUUCGACAUUGCUCAGGUUCUCAUCAGUAAGGGAAAUAUUUGCCAUAAUUUCCCAUCUUGAAGAGUUUCACUGUGCAGAGAAAUCAUGAAACUAGCCAGCUAAACAUUCCACAGACUGGUAGUUUGCUGGCCUGUAAAGCUAAGUCAUAUUGCAAUUGUGUCUUGCAUAAUAUUCAAUUAUGGAAAAGUCUGAAAAGCAACAGAUGAGAAAAACGGAUACUAUUAUUCCUGCACUAGGAUGAAAGGGAUUAAAAUGGUAUCCAUCAGGCUGUAACAGAAGUCUGAUGAACUUGGGAUGACUAGACGCUGUCUCACACUCUUGAUCUGUCCUCCUUUACCUCUGUAAACCUUUUCCAGAUUUAAAAAAUAUGAAAGUGUACUUCUGCCCAAGAUGCCUGGCAACUUUGUAGGACCUGCACACCUGGAAAGCCUAGGGUUUUAUAUAUGCAGCAGUGAUCAUUAUAAAUGAACUAGUCAAAUGAGAACACAUAAAAAUGAAGGCAGCCUUCCUGAAAGGUCUGAAGCAUAAUGGAAGAGGUUUUUUUCAUCUAAACAAUGCUGAAAUAGGGAUCUGGAAGCACUUCUUUCAAGAUUCUCUGUUAUAAAUGUUUCUGCUACUCAAAAAUAAAAGUCAAUCAUAAGUGUGAUCAUCUGUGUUAAAAUAAGGGAAUCUCAAUUUCAUAUUCUGCCUAGAUGAAAUGUGUUCUUCCCUAGCAAGCCUUGACUGUAACACACAUUCAACAUGUUCUUUAUCAGUCCUCUCGUACCCAUGCCAAAAACCUUAUUGACUCCACCCUGAACCAAUAAAUAUUAUAAAGUCAAUAGUGCAAGUUUGGCAUUAAGACUAUUUGUGUCUUCAUGCAGAUUCUUGCCCUUCACAUGCCCUUAGAAACAGCACACUGACCACUAAUCCCGAAACGGCUUUGAAAUGCCUGCAGCAAAUCACAGCACUGCUUUGCUUUUCAAAUAAAGCAUCUGUUUAAAGGGGACCACAUUUUUAAAAGGCAUUAAACAGGUGUAAUUCUUCUUUUACAUCAAGGGUAGAUUUACACAUUGUAAUGAAUUACUGUGAUUUAGCGUCUUGUAUCCUAAGUUGAGGGUCUUCUGUGAAGAGGAACCUUUAUCCAAUUUGAUUUACAUUAUAUUUCCUUUUAUGCUCAUAGAUCUUCCCACCUGUAAUUAGCCACAGCUUUCAAGACUGCCUGUACCAGGACAUAUAUAAUGCUUCCAGUUUCAGAGCAGUGUGACACCCUCAAUUAAUGUUUGUGGUAAAAUUUCUAGUAAUUUAAGAAAAAUAUGUAAUGAGGAUUAAAAAGUCACAAUCACUAUGUCCAUGCAUUGUAAAAAAACAGUUUAAGACCAGUUAACCUCCAUGGUGCAGGUCAGCAUUUUUUCUCUGGAAAUCAUUGCAUUCCAAAAAUUAACAAAAUCAGUUUGUCCAAUAAACAAUAUUAGAAGAGA